rnacentral:lncRNA from 1 species
AUGCAUACACACACGUGCAUAUGCACAUGCAUGCAGACACAUUUGCACAUGUGCCUGCACAUGCACGCAGACACAUGCAUGGUACAUGCAUACACACAGACACAUGCACACACAUGCAGACACACAUGUAUGCACACAGACACAUGUACACACAUGUGCAUGCAAAGACACAUGUGUACACGUACAGCGACCUGCGUGUGCAUGUAUGCAGGACACAGACACGCGUGUGCAUGCACACAGAGACAGACGCAUGUCCGUGCACACACACUGACACAGACACCCUACCCUCUGUCCUGGAGGCCGGAAGUCCAGACCGAGGAGCCGGCCGGCUGUGCGUCCUCUGAGGGACCGGGAGGCCACCCGCAUCUCUGUGCCGUUUCUUGGGAACAUCGGCACUGCGCACGCGGACGCACUUGGCACAGCCUUGUCCUCUCCGAUGGCACCGCAAGGAACCGUGUCCCAAGCCCAGAAAGGGCGUCCCAGGCGUGGGCACAGUGGACAGGUGCCCUGGCCAGUCUCGGUCCUGGGCCCUCCCCUCCUGCUCAGGACAGGACGAGCCAGCAUGGCCUCUCUCUCAGCUUGCGGGGCCUUCGGGGCCUCUGGCCUGCCUGUGUGCCUGGCGGGGCUCCUGGACUCCACGCUGCCGGGGCGCUUCAGGCUGAGUCCCGAGCCCGCACGAAGCCACGCCCACGGGCCCCCACUGAUCACAGCACCUGCAGAGCCUGCCCCCUGGUGGGGGGCUCCCGCUCCCUGCCUAAGCAGGGCGUGGCGAGGCCUGAGGAGGGGUUUGGGCAGGAAGGUGCCCACUACGAGUGGCCGGUGAGACCCGGGGCUGCCCCCUGUGCACUCAGGAGACGGCUGCUGGCCCACGACCUGCCGGGGCCGCGACCCGCCUGGCCCACCUGCCCGGCUGGGGACCAGCGUGUUAAGACAGGCCCUGGUGCAAAGGCUUGGAAACCGGGGUGCGCGUCCCCGAGGGGUUUCUCAGGCCCCUCGUGUGCAGGAGCUGUGAACUUUGUGCACCAAGUUUAUCUUCUAGUUACACGUGCCAUCUUUUUUCGUAACGAUUUAUUUACGUGA